UACGUAGGGUGCGAGCGUUGUCCGGAAUUACUGGGCGUAAAGGGCUCGUAGGCGGCCAACUAAGUCAUACGUGAAAUCCCUCAGCUUAACUGGGAGACUGCGUGUAUCUGGAUGGCUUGGAUUUGGGAGAGGGAUGCGGGAAUUCCAGGUGUAGCGGUGAAAUGCGUAGAUAUCUGGAGGAACACCGGUGGCGAAGGCGGCAUCCUGGACCAAUAUUGACGCUGAGGAGCGAAAGCUAGGGGAGCAAACGGG
rnacentral:rRNA from 1 species